ACUGUUGACCUGUCACCUAAUUUUCUGCCUUAUGUUUCUGUCUCUGUGGAGUUGUUCGUUGUUUCCGUUGUUUCCGUUGUUUUGUUUCCGUUGUUUCCGUUGUUGUUCUUGACCUGUCACCUAAUUUUCUGCCUUAUGUUUCUGUCUCUGUGGAGGUUGUUUCCGUUGUUUCCGUUGUUUCCGUUUUUUCUUUUCACUUUUCUGCCUUUUUUUUCUUGUUGUUUCUUGUUUGUUGUUCUUGACCUGUCACCUAAUUUCUGCCUUAUGUUUCUGUCUCUGUGGAGGUUGCUUCCGUUUUUUCGUUUUCUGUUUUAUUUCCGUUUCGUAUUUCCGUUAUUGACGUUGUUAUUAAUUUUCCGUUGUUUCCGUUGUUUUCGUUGUUUUCGUUCUUUCCUUCUUUCCGUUGUUGUUCUUGACCUGUCACCUAAUUUUGUGCCGUAUGUUUCUGUCUCUGUGGAGUUUAUUUCCGUUAUUUCCAUUAUUUCAGUUAUUAUUUCCAUUUUUAUUUCUGUUAUUUCCAUUUUUAUUUCUGUUUAUUUCCGUUCUUUCCUUGUUUAUUUCCGUUCUUUCCGUGUUUAUUUCCGUUGUUGUUUUUGACCUGUCACCUAAUUUUUGUCCUUAUGUUUCUAUCUCUGUGAAGGUUAUUUUCGUUAUUUCCGUUAUUAUUUUUGUUAUUUCAGUUUUUUCUGUUAUUUCCGUUGUUGUUCUUGACCUGUCACCUAAUUUUCUGCCUUAUGUUUCUGUCUCUGUGGAGGUUGUUUUGGUUGUUUCCGUUGUUGUGCUUGACCUGUCACCUAAUUUUCUGCCUUAUGUUUCUGUCUCUGUGGAGGUUGUUUCGGUUGUUUUGGUUGUUUCAGUUGUUUCCGUUCUUUCUGUUGUUGUUUUUGAACUGUCACCUAAUUUUCUGCCCUAUGUUUCUGUCUCUGUGGAGGUUCUUUCCAUUCUUUCCGUUCUUUCCGUUCUUUCCGUUCUUUCCGUUCUUUCCCUUGUUGUUUUUGAACUGUCACCUAAUAUUCUGCCCUAUGUUUCUGUCUCUGUGGAGGUUCUUUCCGUUCUUUCCGUUCUUUCCGUUGUUUCCGUUGUUUCUGUUGUUGUUCUUGACCUGUCACCUAAUUUUCUGCCUUAUGUUUCUGUCUCUGUGGAGGUUGUUUCCGCUGUUUCCGUUGUUGUUUUUGACCUGUCACCUAAUUUUCUGCCUUAUGUUUCUGUCUCUUUGGAGGUUGUGUUGUUUCCGUUGUUUCCGUUGUGGUUCUUGACCUGUCACCUAAUUUUCUGCCUUAUGUUUUUGUCUCUUUGGAGGUUUUUUCCGUUGUUUCCGUUGUUUUCGUUGUUAGCAUUCUUUCCGUUGUUCUUCUUGACCUGUCACCUAAUUUUCUGCCUUAUGUUUCUGUCUCUGUGGAGGUAGUUUCGGUAGUUUCGGUUGUUUCCGUUGUUGUUCUUGACCUGUCACCUAAUUUUCUGCUCUAUGUUUCUGUCUCUCUGGAGGAUGUUUCCGUUAGUGUUUCCGUUAGUGUUUCCGUUAGUGUUUCCGUAUGUUUGUUCUUGACCUGUCAUGUAAUUUUCUCUUUUAUGUUUCUGUCUCUGUGGAGGUUGUGUUGUUUCCGUUGUUUCCGUUGUUUCCGUUGUUGUUCUUGACCUGUCACGUAAUAUUCUGCCGUAUGUUUCUGUCUCUGUGGAGGUUCUUUAUGUUCUUUCCGUUCUUUCCGUUCUUUCCGUUCUUUCUGUUGUUGUUUUUGAACUGUCACCUAAUUUUCUGCCCUAUGUUUCUGUCUCUGUGGAGGUUCUUUCCGUUCUUUCCGUUCUUUCCGUUCUUUCCGUUCUUUCCCUUGUUGUUUUUGAACUGUCACCUAAUUUUCUGCCCUAUGUUUCUGUCUCUGUGGAGGUUCUUUCCGUUCUUUCCGUUCUUUCCGUUGUUUCCGUUGUUUCUGUUGUUGUUCUUGACCUGUCACCUAAUUUUCUGCCUUAUGUUUCUGUCUCUGUGGAGGUUGUUUCCGCUGUUUCCGUUGUUUCUGUUGUUGUUCUUGACCUGUCACCUAAUUUUCUGCCUUAUGUUUCUGUCUCUUUGGAGGUUGUGUUGUUUCCGUUGUUUCCGUUGUUUCCGUUGUGGUUCUUGACCUGUCACCUAAUUUUCUGCCUUAUGUUUUUGUCUCUGUGGAGGUUUUUUCCGUUGUUUCCGUUGUUUUCGUUGUUUCCAUUCUUUCCGUUGUUCUUCUUGACCUGUCACCUAAUUUUCUGCCUUAUGUUUCUGUCUCUGUGGAGGUAGUUUCGGUUGUUUCUGUUGUUUCCGUUGUUGUUCUUGACCUGUCACCUAAUUUUCUGCUCUAUGUUUCUGUCUCUCUGGAGGAUGUUUCCGUUAGUGUUUCCGUUAGUGUUUCCGUUAGUGUUUCCGUUGUUGUUCUUGACCUGUUACGUAAUUUUCUCUUUUAUGUUUCUGUCUCUGUGGAGGUUGUGUUUUUUCCGUUGUUUCGGUUGUUUCCGUUGUUUCCGUUGUUUCCUUGUUUCCGUUGUUUCCGUUGUUGUUCUUGACCUGUCACGUAAUUUUCUGCCGUAUGUUUCUGUCUCUGUGGAGGUUCUUUAUGUUCUUUCCGUUCUUUCCGUUCUUUCUGUUGUUGUUCUUGACCUGUCACCUUAUUUUCUGCCGUAUGUUUCUGUCUCUGUGGAGGUUCUUUCCGUUCUUUCUGUAGUUGUUCUUGAAAUGUCCCCUAAUUUUCUGCCGUAUGUUUCUGUCUCUGUGGAGGUUCUUUAUUUCCGUUCUUUCCAUUCUUUCCGUUCUUUCCAUUGUUAUUCUUGACCUGUCACCUAAUUUUCUGCCUUAUGUUUCUGUCUCUGUGGUGGUUGUUUCCGUUGUUUCCGUUGUUUCCGUUGUUGUUCUUCACUUUCACGUAUUUUUCUGUUGUAUGUUUCUGUCUCUGUGGUGGUUCUUUCCGUUCUUUCCGUUCUUUCUGUUGUUGUUUUUGAACUGUCACCUAAUUUUCUGUCUUUGUUUCUGUCUCUGUGGAGGUUCUUUCCGUUCUUUCCGUUGUUGUUUUUGAACUGUCACCUAAUUUUCUGCCCUAUGUUUCUGUCUCUGUGGAGGUUCUUUCUGUUGUUUCCGUUGUUUCCGUUGUUUCUGAUGUUUCUGUUGUUGUUCUUGACCUGUCACCUAAUUUUCUGCCUUAUGUUUCUGUCUCUGUGGAGGUUGUUUCCGCUGUUUCCGUUGUUUCCGUUGUUGUUCUUGACUGUCACCUAAUUUUCUGCCUUAUGUUUUCUGUCUCUGUGGAGGUUGUUUCCGUUGUUUCCGUUGUGUCCGUUGUUGUUAUUGACCUCUCACCUAAUUUUCUGCCUUAUGUUUCUGUCUCUGUGGUGGUUGUUUCCGUUGUUUCCGUUGUUUCCGUUGUUUCCGUUGUUUCCGUUGUUGUUCUUCACUUGUCACGUAUUUUUCUGUUGUAUGUUUCUGUCUCUGUGGAGGUUUUUCCGUUCUUUCCGUUUUUCCGUUCUUUCUGUUGUUGUUCUUGACCUGUCACCUAAUUUUCUGCCCUUAUGUUUCUGUCUCUGUGGAGGUUCUGUUCCGUUCUUUCCGUUUCGUUGUUGUUUUUGAACUGUCACCUAAUUUUCUGCCCUAUGUUUCUGUCUCUGUGGAGGUUUUUCUUUGUUUUCCGUUUUUCGUUGUUUCUGUUGUUGUUUUGAC
rnacentral:lncRNA from 7 species